CCUACGGGUGGCUGCAGUGAGGAAUAUUGGUCAAUGGAUGAAAAUCUGAACCAGCCAAGUAGCGUGCAGGAUGACGGCCCUAUGGGUUGUAAACUGCUUUUAUGUGAGAAUAAAGUUAGGUAUGUAUACUUAUUUGCAUGUAUCACAUGAAUAAGGACCGGCUAAUUCCGUGCCAGCAGCCGCGGUAAUACGGAAGGUCCAGGCGUUAUCCGGAUUUAUUGGGUUUAAAGGGUGCGUAGGCCGUUUGAUAAGCGUGCUGUGAAAUAUAGUGGCUCAACCUCUAUCGUGCAGCGCGAACUGUUGAACUUGAGUGCGUAGUAGGUAGGCGGAAUUCGUGGUGUAGCGGUGAAAUGCUUAGAUAUCACGAAGAACUCCGAUUGCGAAGGCAGCUUACCGUAACGUUACUGACGCUUAAGCACGAAGGUGCGGGUAUCGAACAG
rnacentral:rRNA from 1 species